GUGCCAGCAGCCGCGGUAAUACGUAGGGGGCGAGCGUUGUCCGGAGUUACUGGGCGUAAAGCGCACGCAGGCGGUCGGGCAAGUUUGGGGUGACAGUGGUCGGCUUAACUGACCAAGUGCCUCAAAGACUGCGCCGACUUGAGGGCCAGAGAGGGACACGGAACUCCAGGUGUAGUGGUGAAAUGCGUAGAUAUCUGGAAGAACACCAAAGGCGAAGGCAGUGUCCUGGGUGGUACCUGACGCUCAGGUGCGAAAGCUAGGGGAGCGAACGGGAUUAGAUACCCCGGUAGUCCUAGCCGUAAACGAUGACCACUAGAUGUGCGGGGUAUCGACCCCCUGCGUGUCGGAGCAAACGCGAUAAGUGGUCCGCCUGGGGAGUACGG
rnacentral:rRNA from 1 species